GAUGAACGCUGGCGGCGUGCCUAAUACAUGCAAGUCGAGCGAACAGACGAGGAGCUUGCUCCUCUGAUGUUAGCGGCGGACGGGUGAGUAACACGUGGAUAACCUACCUAUAAGACUGGGAUAACUUCGGGAAACCGGAGCUAAUACCGGAUAACAUGUUGAACCGCAUGGUUCAACAGUGAAAGACGGUUUUGCUGUCACUUAUAGAUGGAUCCGCGCCGCAUUAGCUAGUUGGUAAGGUAACGGCUUACCAAGGCAACGAUGCGUAGCCGACCCGAGAGGGUGAUCGGCCACACUGGAACUGAGACACGGUCCAGACUCCUACGGGAGGCAGCAGUAGGGAAUCUUCCGCAAUGGGCGAAAGCCUGACGGAGCAACGCCGCGUGAGUGAAGAAGGUCUUCGGAUCGUAAAACUCUGUUAUUAGGGAAGAACAAAUGUGUAAGUAACUAUGCACGUCUUGACGGUACCUAAUCAGAAAGCCACGGCUAACUACGUG
rnacentral:rRNA from 1 species